rnacentral:rRNA from 1 species
UAGGGAAUCUUCGGCAAUGGACGGAAGUCUGACCGAGCAACGCCGCGUGAGUGAAGAAGGUUUUCGGAUCGUAAAGCUCUGUUGUUAGAGAAGAACGUUGGUAGGAGUGGAAAAUCUACCAAGUGACGGUAACUAACCAGAAAGGGACGGCUAACUACGUGCCAGCAGCCGCGGUAAUACGUAGGUCCCGAGCGUUGUCCGGAUUUAUUGGGCGUAAAGCGAGCGCAGGCGGUUCUUUAAGUCUGAAGUUAAAGGCAGUGGCUUAACCAUUGUACGCUUUGGAAACUGGAGGACUAGAGUGCAGAAGGGGGGAGUGGAAUUCCAUGUGUAGCGGUGAAAUGCGUAGAUAUAUGGAGGAACACCGGUGGCGAAAGCGGCUCUCUGGUCUGUAACUGACGCUGAGGCUCGAAAGCGUGGGGAGCAAACAGG